GAUGAACGCUAGCUACAGGCUUAACACAUGCAAGUCGAGGGGCAGCAUGAACUUAGCUUGCUAAGUUUGAUGGCGACCGGCGCACGGGUGAGUAACACGUAUCCAACCCGCCGAUGACUCGGGGAUAGCCUUUCGAAAGAAAGAUUAAUACCCGAUGGCAUAGUUCUUCCGCAUGGUAGAACUAUUAAAGAAUUUCGGUCAUCGAUGGGGAUGCGUUCCAUUAGGUUGUUGGCGGGGUAACGGCCCACCAAGCCUUCGAUGGAUAGGGGUUCUGAGAGGAAGGUCCCCCACAUUGGAACUGAGACACGGUCCAAACUCCUACGGGAGGCAGCAGUGAGGAAUAUUGGUCAAUGGACGAGAGUCUGAACCAGCCAAGUAGCGUGAAGGAUGACUGCCCUAUGGGUUGUAAACUUCUUUUAUACGGGAAUAAAGUGAGGCAUGUGUGCCUUUUUGUAUGUACCGUAUGAAUAAGGAUCGGCUAACUCCGUG
rnacentral:rRNA from 1 species